rnacentral:rRNA from 1 species
AUACGUAGGGGGCAAGCGUUGUCCGGAAUUACUGGGCGUAAAGGGUGCGCAGGCGGCUUGGUUAGUCAGAAGUGAAAGUUUGCAGCUUAACUGUAAAAGUGCUUUUGAUACUGCCUGGCUUGAGUCUCGGAGGGGUAAGCGGAAUUCCUAGUGUAGCGGUAAAAUGCGUAGAGAUUAGGAAGAACACCGGCGGCGAAGGCGGCUUACUGGACGAGUACUGACGCUCUUGCACGAAAGCGUGGGAAGCAAACAGGAUUAGAUACCCGGGUAGUCCACGCCGUAAACGAUGAAUACUAGCUGUUGGGGCAACUCAGUAGCGCAGUUAACACAUUAAGUAUUCCGCCUGGGGAGUACGCACGCAAGUGUAAAACUCAAAUGAAUUGACGGGG